rnacentral:rRNA from 1 species
GAGUUUGAUCCUGGCUCAGGAUGAACGCUGGCGGCGUGCCUAAUACAUGCAAGUCGAACGAGGUGCUUUUGUAGCAAUACGAGAGUAUCCUAGUGGCGAACGGGUGAGUAACGCGUUGGUGACCUACCCCAAAGUGUGGGAUAACAGUCCGAAAGGAUUGCUAAUACCGCAUGUGGUCAUUGGAUUUAGAAACUGAUGACUAAAGGAGCAAUUCGCUUUGGGAGGGACCUGCGUCCCAUCAGCUAGUUGGUGAGGUAACGGCUCACCAAGGCGACGACGGGUAGGGGACCUGAGAGGGUGGCCCCCCACAAUGGAACUGAAACACGGUCCAUACACCUACGGGUGGCAGCAGUAGGGAAUAUUGCUCAAUGGGCGAAAGCCUGAAGCAGCAACGCCGCGUGUGCGAUGAAGGUCUUCGGAUCGUAAAGCACUUUUCUGCGAGAUGAGAAAGGACAGUAUCGUAGGAAUAAGUCUCGGCUAACUACGUGCCAGCAGCCGCGGUAACACGUAGGAGGCGAGCGUUAUCCGGAUUCACUGGGCGUAAAGCGCGUGCAGGCGGUUUGGUAAGUUGGGCGUGAAAGCUCCCGGCUCAACUGGGAGAGGUCGUUCAAUACUACCGAACUAGAGAGUAGAAGAGGAAGAUGGAAUUCCCGGUGUAGUGGUGAAAUGCGUAGAUAUCGGGAGGAACACCAGUGGCGAAGGCGAUCUUCUGGUCUAUUUCUGACGCUCAGACGCGACAGCUAGGGUAGUAAACGGGAUUAGAGACCCCGGUAAUCCUAGCCGUAAACGAUGUGAACUUGGCGUCGGUGGCUUAAACACCAUCGGUGCCGAAGCAAACGCGAUAAGUUCACCGCCUGGGGACUACGGCCGCAAGGUUAAAACUCAAAGGAAUUGACGGGGGCCCGCACAAGCAGCGGAGCGU